rnacentral:rRNA from 1 species
CCUACGGGAGGCAGCAGUGAGGAAUAUUGGUCAAUGGACGAGAGUCUGAACCAGCCAAGUAGCGUGAAGGAUGACUGCCCUAUGGGUUGUAAACUUCUUUUAUAUGGGAAUAAAAUGUUCCACGUGUGGGAUUUUGUAUGUACCAUAUGAAUAAGGAUCGGCUAACUCCGUGCCAGCAGCCGCGGUAAUACGGUGGAUCCGAGCGUUAUCCGGAUUUAUUGGGUUUAAAGGGAGCGUAGGUGGAUUGUUAAGUCAGUUGUGAAAGUUUGCGGCUCAACCGUAAAAUUGCAGUUGAAACUGGCAGUCUUGAGUACAGUAGAGGUGGGCGGAAUUCGUGGUGUAGCGGUGAAAUGCUUAGAUAUCACGAAGAACUCCGAUUGCGAAGGCAGUUCACUGGACUGCAACUGACACUGAGGCUCGAAAGUGUGGGUAUCAAACAGGAUUAGAUACCCCUGUAGUC